GUGUCAGCAGCCGCGGUAAUACGUAGGGGGCUAGCGUUGUCCGGAAUCAUUGGGCGUAAAGAGCGCGUAGGCGGCCAGACAAGUCCGGUGUGAAAGUCACAGGCUCAACCUGUGAAUGCCGCUGGAAACUGUCUGGCUAGAGUCCGGAAGGGGCGAGUGGAAUUCCUGGUGUAGCGGUGAAAUGCGCAGAUAUCAGGAGGAACACCUAUGGCGAAGGCAGCUCGCUGGAACGGUACUGACGCUGAGGCGCGAAAGCGUGGGGAGCGAACAGGAUUAGAUACCCUGGUAGUCCACGCCGUAAACGAUGGGCACUAGGUGUGGGAGGUGUCGACUCCUCCUGUGCCGAAGCUAACGCAUUAAGUGCCCCGCCUGGGGAGUACGGCCGCAAGGCUAAA
rnacentral:rRNA from 1 species